rnacentral:rRNA from 1 species
AGAGUUUGAUCCUGGCUCAGGACGAACGCUGGCGGCGCGCCUAACACAUGCAAGUCGAACGAGAGAUGAGGAGCUUGCUCUUCAAAUCGAGUGGCGAACGGGUGAGUAACGCGUGAGGAACCUGCCUCAAAGAGGGGGACAACAGUUGGAAACGACUGCUAAUACCGCAUAAGCCCACAGGUCGGCAUCGACCAGAGGGAAAAGGAGCAAUCCGCUUUGAGAUGGCCUCGCGUCCGAUUAGCUAGUUGGUGAGGUAACGGCCCACCAAGGCGACGAUUGGUAGCCGGACUGAGAGGUUGAACGGCCACAUUGGGACUGAGACACGGCCCAGACUCCUACGGGAGGCAGCAGUGGGGGAUAUUGCACAAUGGGGGAAACCCUGAUGCAGCGACGCCGCGUGGAGGAAGAAGGUUUUCGGAUUGUAAACUCCUGUCGUUAGGGACGAUAAUGACGGUACCUAACAAGAAAGCACCGGCUAACUACGUGCCAGCAGCCGCGGUAAAACGUAGGGUGCAAGCGUUGUCCGGAAUUACUGGGUGUAAAGGGAGCGCAGGCGGACCGGCAAGUUGGAAGUGAAAACUAUGGGCUCAACCCAUAAAUUGCUUUCAAAACUGCUGGCCUUGAGUAGUGCAGAGGUAGGUGGAAUUCCCGGUGUAGCGGUGGAAUGCGUAGAUAUCGGGAGGAACACCAGUGGCGAAGGCGACCUACUGGGCACCAACUGACGCUGAGGCUCGAAAGCAUGGGUAGCAAACCAGGAUUAGAUACCCUGGUAGUCCAUGCCGUAAAC